GUGAGAAGCCUAAUUAUUGACAAGGUGUGAAGAGCCGCGUGUGCUCAGUGUGCUUCCUCCGGCCCCUGAAUGUGGCUAACCUUAACCCUGCAGCCGUUGCCCAUAAUCCAAUGGGUUUGCGGUCGUAAUGCGUAAGUGCGGGAUGGGACCAACUACUUUGGGUGUCCGUGUUUCCUGUUUUUCUUUUGAUUGCAUUUUAUGGUGACAAUUUAUAGUGUAUAGAUUGUCAUCAUGGGUGCACAAGUAUCUAGACAAAAUGUU
rnacentral:other from 1 species